rnacentral:rRNA from 1 species
AAUCAACGCUGGCGGCGUGCCUCAGACAUGCAAGUCGAACGCGAAAGGCCCCGUUCGGGGGCCGAGUAGAGUGGCGUCCGGGUGAGUAACACGUGGGUAAUCUACCUUCGGGUGGGGAAUAACGACCGGAAACGGUCGCUAAUACCGCAUAAUGCAGCGGCACCUAAUGGUGACAGUUGUUAAAGCGGGGGAUCGCAAGACCUCGCGCCUGAAGAGGA